GCAUCAUUGGUAGUUCAAUAGUAGAAUUCUCGCCUCCCACGCGGGAGACCCGGGUUUGAUUCCCGGCCAAUGCA
rnacentral:tRNA from 1 species